rnacentral:lncRNA from 1 species
AUGUUUUUUUACUUUAAACCACCGAGAGGAUUUAUCAGUUCUGAUAUGCUAAACAAGUGUGCUGUAUCCAGACUGAAAUUCUUUCUCAGCCAAAGCAGCCACACUUCUGAAGACUAUGAAUUUCUCAUAUUUGGAUCUGCCUACGAUAGGGCUGGCCAUUUUCUUCUCAGAUUGUUCGGUGCUUUUCAGUCGAAAGAACAUUUGACAAAGUUGUUAAUGGAUGGAGAAGUAGUGUUGUUCAUGGAACGUUUGGCAGGCAUCCCAAUUGAAGAAAAACUCAAAGCAUUCAGAUUACUGAAUCGACACAUAGUGGAAAUGAGGAAUAGCAAUACCCUUAUGCUGCGGAGGGAUGAGAUGUACCAAGCGCUUUCCCUGUUAAGUCGUUUUCUUUCAAUGAGAAAUAUUUGUAAUCACAUCUUCCGAAAUGGAGAGUGCAUGAUUUUUGUUCCUCGUAUUCAAUAAAGGUUGACUUCAAAUCAUGUCUACAUUUAUUAAAAAAUCGCGAGGUUGUAUUAAAUAAUGGUAUCGCAACUGUUCCUUGUAGCAAGUGGAAAAUUAUGUUGAAAGAGCUAUUCAUCACUCAUAUGGACUAUGGUAUCAGAGAGCUGAUAGAGCUAAAAACAGUCCAGGCAGCCAUUCUAGAUUCGCGACUCAUGGCAUCUUUCAGAGCUCUCGACAGCAUCCUUGUUGCAGCUAUAUAAAAAACCACUUUAAUGGUCUGCGCUCUGAGUCAGGUAUGUGUGGGUAAGAUUUUAAACAAUUUUAGUUGAUAUAUUUUAUUUUUACUUACAAUUUCUUAGACAAGUAAGAAGUGCUUCAACGUAGAGAAGAAUUUUUCUCUUCCAAUCUGUGUAGCUUCUGUUCUUUAUAGCGUCUCACCUUCUGUAUUUGGAUUACGUUUUGCAAUAAGGAACCAUUAUCUCUGACUCUUCCAUGAAAGCACGUAUUUGCAUGGGGAAAGUAAUAGCAUUUAUGUUGUUUCUAAAACGAGCCGGAAAUAGUGGCUCCUUAUUGCAAAAUGUAAUCCAUUUUAGGUAUUGCAGGGUUCAUUUAAAAACAAGUCUCAAUGUUUUAUUCAUCCAAACCAAUGAUGAUAUCUUCAAUUAAAAGAAAUUCAUGCUCCUUACUUUACGGCAACAGGAACAGAUCCAAACUGGUACCGUAUCUCAAAUACAAAGUCCCUGAUUGAGCUAACCUCGCUUUCAUUCGAAAUAUGGCUCAGAAAGCUUUCAAUUAAUGUCAAAACAGCUGUUUGAUCAACAAUUGAUGACUUGGCAGAUUGUAAAUAAAUUUGUGCAAACUGAAGACAGAAUCUCGAUGAAACUUCUGAGCCUUCUUGCAUAGGUACUUUUUAAAACUAAAUUUAACCACGUACGAAUUUUUAUUUUCCACCAUUAUUCUGCCACCAUAAGAAAGCAGCGUUAGCCAGUAAUGGGCUGAUCAAUUGAGAAAUAUUAUUUUUUCCUCUACUUCAGUGUAUGAAGAUGUUAUAUGAAGAGAUCAAUGAAAAUUUUAUAACAUAGAUAAGAUCUGUCUAAUUUUCUUAACGGUAAAUGUCAACAUUUGUAAGGUAUACACUUGUUUCCAUAUUUGUUUUUCCAUUCAGAAUGCAAUGAAGUCAAUUAUAACUCCUUUUACUGUCAGUUGUUCCAUUCUUUAAUCUGGAACAGUAUUGACAUAUUUUGAAAAAGAUACUGUGACUCUAUAAUACCAGUAGUGAAAUUUACUCCUGUUUAGGCUGUGAUGUGGUCAGGACUGACGAUUUGGUAAAGGAAAGUAUGUGGUUCCCUCCUUGUAUGCUUCAUCUGUACAAAACUUUAAGAGCACGGCACCGACUGUCUCAUCAGGCCCGGUUUUAUUUCAGUUUAUUUCUGAAAGAUAUUGGAAUGCCUUUGAGUGAAUCAUUAGCAUUUUGGGAAGCAGAAUACUCUAAACCACUUUGCUCUAAGUCCACUUGCACACACUCCUGGCAGAAAAGCAGUAACAAGUAUAUCUAUGGAAUCAAACACCUCUAUGGUGUGGUUGGUGGGUGCAAGAAAUAUUCCUCUCCAACCUGCCGUAAAAUACAGGUUAGUUUCGUUCGUUUUUUAUCAUAUUAUGUUUAUCCCCAAUAAUUAUUCUCACCGAGGACACUUACAGAAGGUAGGUCAUUUGUAUGAAGCUAGUUGAUUUAAUCGGAAAUUUUGAGUCUUAUGUUCCAAAAAAUUUAGUCAAUGAAUGAAUUGUGUAAGAUCAUUUCUUUUAAUUUUUAUGCUAAAGUUGUAAAACCAUUAAUAUUUUGACCUAAGAGUAACGCCUCACAGCCAUUUUACAAAAUAUGUAAGCAACAAUCCAAAAACGUGACAAAACCAUCGCUCUAUCCGUGUUUUUUUUAUGUAUAUACCUACUCUUUUAUUUUUAUUUUAUUAUAUUUAUUUUUAUUUUAAUUACUUAUUUA